GGCAGGUAAAACCCACCGAGUCACUUGAGAGUAUUUGUCUCCGGGCAAAGAAUUCAAGGCAGAAGUAACAGUGUUUGUGCAUAAGCAUAAGAUGGCAAACUGAACAGCAGAGAUUUACCUCCCCACAUCACAUAGCAACCCUUGUUCCAGCAAAGAACACAGCAACUACAGG